rnacentral:lncRNA from 1 species
CGGCACUUCCCUCCAUCCGUGCGGUUCCUGCCUGGCCGUGCUCCCGCCCCGCCGCUAGGGAUGUCAACGGCGUCCUAAACGGCGCCGCCAAGCCCAGUUCUAUCCUUCCUGCAGAGGUUAGUUUUAGAUUUUUCUUUUUUCUUUUGCUGCCUAAGUCUGCUGUGGGGCAGGGCUAAACGGGCUCAACGGGCCUCUAACCGGCGCCAGUUUACAUCCCUACCCGCCGCAACCUCGCGGCCCUCGUCGCUGCUGGAGUUCCUGACCGGGCGGCGGUGGGACGGAGGGCGCCCCGCAAGCGCAGCGGCAACCCAGACAGCGGCCGGGAACGACGAUGGCAUGACCCGGGACUUCCUUGGCAC